AGAGAAUCAGGAGGCUUCUGUUGAGACAGAAGUCCAUUUCUAGGGCGAUUCCUGCACAGGCCGGAAAACUGGGCAAUUCCCUGGGGUUGCCAGUAGAGGUCACUCUAGACGGGCAAGCUCUUCCCCCGGAGGUUGGAGAACUAACUGGAAAGGAAUGCUUGGCUUUUGGCUCCAAAAAAAAAAAAAUUCGACCUGGCUGCCUGGACUCGCCUUGAGUGCCAGGAAACGUUGAUUGCUAGUUCCCAGCCGCGGAGCGUGGAGGAAAUAUCCAGUUGGAUCCCAUACAAUGAAACCCCACUUCCCUGGAACUAAAACAGGAAUCAGGACCAAACACGGCAGCCUUCCCCUCUCACUCUCCCUAACCCCUGAAUCUUUAACCACAAGUUUCAAUCCUUUGCGGUUACCAAAGAACAGAAGUAAUACUUUCCGAUUUAUCUCAUAAACCCCAGAAGUUGCGUUUUCCUUGCCUUCUUCCCUGAAACACGUCUCCCACCUCUGCUAGGCUGUUAUUGGGUUUUAUGGCCCAAGAGCAGAGGGUUAUGGAGUUCAUUCUCUCUUCGCUUCUCCAACUUUUUCCAGGUUUAGAUAGUUCGGCUGCAAGGUAUCUGGUGUCCUCCCCUCUGGCAAAGAUCCUCGGUGUCUGAACAUUCUGUCUCAGCAGCCUAAGUGAAAUAAAGCCUGCAGUGUGUUUAAGUCGGAGCCUGGCCCUCCGCUCUUAAAAAUGUUCGCUGUCAUUAUUGUUACUGUUAUUAUGGCGUCUGGAUCGUGACACUAAGAAAAUUGUCAGUCAGCACCCAGAGGAACAUGACUGGUUGCAGGGAUGCGAUGCUACCCCCUCCGCCCCUCCCCAGGUGGCCGGACAACCUCAACCAGACUGUUACUGGGAACAACCCCUCCCCUGAGCAGUUUGACCAUGGGAGGAGGUGAGGUAGCGUGGCAUCGCGAAACCCUAUAAUUUUGGUGUUAAUAGACGCCCUUUACGGGCUAUGUUUUAUAUGACCAUAUAGCUAAGAAUUUUCAUUGGCAACUAGAAUAGUGUCAGUUGUAUGACUCCUUUAACUCUUCCUAUCACCAGCAAUACAAUUCGGAAGAACUAACUUGUACUGGGUACGGGCUAUGUCUCAGGGCCCUGUGCUGGACACUUGGGCACAAUUCAUCUCAUCUCACCGAGCUUCGGAGUCCUCAGCCCUGUGUGCGGAGUGUUUUAGGAGACGCCACCCAGUUUCAGAUACCUCCCUUCUUCUGCUCUGAGCUCCAAAGAAAGCAAGCAAGUGGCUUCGAAGCCUUGCCGGCUGCCUUUCUGGGGCUAGGAAUCAACUUCGGCUCUGCUCUACCGUUUCCCAAAUUCCCGUGAGCGUCUGGGCUUUGGGAGAAGCUACCAGACGAGCCCCAGCUGAGUGAAUUCAGGUUUGCUUUGAGUGGAAACUUCUGGACGUAAAGCUAAGUACUGGAAUGUGUUUCCAAGGUCGGGGUGAUUAAAUGCUCGUUUGUCGACAGAAGACUGGAGGCCAGAGAGCUGUCUUAGCGCUAUAUAUACACACAGGCGCCCUAUUAACGGUACAGCCACAAAAUACCCUGUUUAUCCAGUAGACAGGUGCGUCUUAGGACUUGAGCAGGUUUAAAUUUACCAAGUCGAUCCUGGAUAAAUAUAAGAUCUGUGCGUUUUACAGAACAGAAACUGGACUCCGGCGGGCGGGCCGGGGGCUGAAUGCGGGAAGGAACCUUGGCUCAUCUCACAUGGCCCUGGGCCCUGGCUCUGCAACCUGUCCUGGGACCCUGCGGCAGCUGAGGGCCAAGCUAUGUGGCCCAAGUCCCGGGGAAUGCGGGCAAUGUGGGCUGGGCAAGUGGGAAUGUCGGGAAUGAGUCCACAGUCCAGGGUUCAGAUCUCACGGUUGGGCUGCGCCCUGCCCUGACGUCCUCCCUUAAAGAUGAGAGCUCCAUGCGCCGGGAGCUCUGAAUCCUGCCCCUGAAUCAUAUUGCUUUUCUGAGCCCGUGUGUCUUAUUAUAGCGGGAAAGACUGCACCCAGUCUGGCUCAGGCUGCGGGGCACUAAAUACGCUAUUCAAACACUCCCUAAACUUGGGGUCCAACAAGACCACACAUGCAGUUGUCUUUAUUAUCAAACUAGUG